UAGCUUAGUGGUAACGCUUCCGCCUCGUAAGCGGUAGAUCGGGGUUCAAACCCCG
rnacentral:tRNA from 1 species